AUUGAACGCUGGCGGCAGGCCUAACACAUGCAAGUCGAACGAGUGGCGGACGGGUGAGUAAUGUCUGGGAAACUGCCUGAUGGAGGGGGGUAACUACUGGAAACGGUAGCUAAUACCGCAUACCAUCGGAUGUGCCCAGAUGGGAUUAGCUAGUAGGUGGGGUAAAGGCUCACCUAGGCGACGAUCCCUAGCUGGUCUGAGAGGAUGACCAGCCAUACUGGAACUGAGACACGGGCCAGACUCCUACGCGAGGCAGCAGUGGGGAAUAUUGCACAAUGGGCGCAAGCCUGAUGCAGCCAUCCCGCGUGUAUGAAGAAGUCCUGCGGGUGGCAAAGUACGUUCAGCGGGGAGGCGUUGCCAGUAGAAGAAGCACCGGCUAACUCCGUGCCAGCAGCCGCGGUAAUAC
rnacentral:rRNA from 1 species